CAAGAGAACAAGCAAGAAGCAGCAGAUGUGUAAGCAUUCAAGUGUUCCAGCAAGCAUUCAGAGCUAAGGAAGGCAUUCAGCCUGAAAAUCCUGAAUAGAGUCGGGGCAGUGGUUUGGCUGUGAGAUCCUACACAGGUGAGGCUCUCUGGGGAAUAGGCGGCAUAAACAAGAGAAGGUAACGAAGAAUUAAGGGAGGUAAAGACUAAGGAGGAGCAACUAAGGAGAAGCAAAUCUCACAAGCGCAUCCUUCCUAAGUGCUCCAUUGGAGCCUCAUAAAAAAUUUACCAUGACAACUCUAUUGGAGCCCUAUAAGGAAGGUAAGGACUAAGGAGGAAGAACUGGUACCGUAGCAACUCCAUUGGAGCCCCAUAACGACUAAGGAGGAAGAACUGCAGGCUUCUGUGCCAUCUAAUAUUGUAUUUUACAACGAGAAAAAAAAAGUAACAAUACAACAUAGAUACACCUGUACAUUUACCUUGUUCAUAGGUGUAUUCAAGAAGGAACAUUUUGCCACAUAUAUGAAAACCAUGUUAAACUUCUUUUUUGAAAAAAUAAAUAAUAAAUUGAACAAA